UCUGAGUCGGAUGUCAAAGUUGACCAACUUGUGGGUUUAUGUCCACAACCUUCUACUAUUCAGACUCCCCUUACCUGCAAAUGAGACCAAGUGGGUGGACAGAAUCUCCCACAAGAGGUGUGAUCAUGUCUGCAUUCUCAAUUCUAACA